UACGGAGGGUGCGAACGUUAAUCGGAAUUACUGGGCGUAAAGCGCGCGUAGGCGGUUCGAUAAGUGGGAUGUGAAAGCCCCGGGCUCAACCUGGGAAUUGCCUUCCAAACUGUCGGGCUAGAGUGUGGUAGAGGGAGGUGGAAUUUCCUGUGUAGCGGUGAAAUGCGUAGAUAUAGGAAGGAACACCAGUGGCGAAGGCGGCCUCCUGGACCAACACUGACGCUGAGGUGCGAAAGCGUGGGGAGCAAACAGG
rnacentral:rRNA from 1 species